UGCAGAAAGGACUCCUGCACCCUCGGUGCAGCACUGAGCUCUGAUCCCCUUUGCUCUUCAUAUUUCCAUGAAGUCUCUGUCUCACUGCCUGCAUGAUUCUGCCAAAGGCUGGCAGGACCCUUGGGAAGCUGAACCAGGAGGUGAUCCCCGUUUUCAGGACAGAUCACAGAGGGGAGGCUGUGCUGCCCCUGCUCCUGUUACCCCUGCUCUGAGGUGUCGUGUCCCAACUGGCUUCAGAGGAACUGCCCCACACCAGCAGCAGUAACACCUCUGUUCCU